rnacentral:other from 1 species
UCAUGUCUGCAGUACGCGCUGGGUUCUAUAUUUCCUUGUACCAAUGCUCAUUGAGCCCGGGCUAGAAAUAUUGCUUGGCUGGUGUGAGCGUCUCGCGUUAGAUGAACCCGAAGCCUCGACUGAUCCUGCCCACCUGUACCCUUCGGUUCAGGAAUGCGGCCCGGCGGUACUUGCAGACACCCC